GGAUGUGAGGGCGACCUGGCUGUGAGACCUGUCACCCCACUCAUCGCCAGGGCUGAUCUGGCUGACCUGGCUGGCUAGGCGGGUGUCCCCUUCCUCCCUCACCGCUCCAUGUGCGUCCCUCCUGAAGCUGCGCGCUUGGUCAAAGAAGACAGUCUUCCCCGAACAGAGAACAGACUGGUCUUCGGUCAAAGGUAUACGAGUAGCAGCUGUGCUCCCCUGGCAGAGCCUCCAAAGAAGCUCUCAAGGUCUAAAAUAGUCCUAGUGAGCCCAGCCAAUGAAGAAAUUCCCCUAACUGUGGGGUCUAG
rnacentral:snRNA from 1 species